CUCACCGUACACCCCUUGCCCGGAGCUGCCCUCCAGCAGAACCGUCAGCAGCCCCAGCAGCCCGAUCGCUACAUCCAUCUUCACGUGCUACUGAAUCUCUCCAUACUCCCAGUGGUGAAAGACUUUGGUAAUCUACAAACUGAGUACUGAAAAAAGAAAGAAGACUCUCUCUGACAGAGCACUGGAGUAGAUCUGGGCUGCAGACAGGAUUCCUCCGUCUCUCGUCUCACAGUGAACACACAAAGGACUGCGACAAGAAACUCAGAGACAAUAGAGGACCCCAACAGCAUACAUUAUUAACAAUGCCUGCAUUCCUUAGUGUCCUUGCUGCUAAAAUUAACACAGCCCGUGUGGCAUCCUGCCAGAGUGAGCAUGGUGCACGUCAUAAAGAAUACAGAAGAUGGAGAAGAGAUUCAGUGUGGCUCUUCACACCGUGGCUCAUAUUAGAAAGCAAGAUGGGACUCCUGCAUUUCAUUUGUCGGAUCUCACCUGCAAAGCAUCUAUCGGUCCUCAGGAAAGCAGGAAGAAAUAAAACAUCCACUGUAAGAAAUGCACCAUCAAGACAGGACUCCCAGUUUGUUGCAAGGAAUAAAGGAGAAAGGGAACAUCUGAGAUCCAAAACUGAUCUGCAUGAGAACAAGCAAAGCAGGAUAUUGGAUUGUUAGGCAUGGUUAAGCCUUCAGUGGAGGGAAGGAGAGGUUUUCUGUCAGACAUCUGUAAGUGAUUUCCUUCUACCCUGAAGACAAAGAUGUGUAGAGGACCAUUAAUAGGAAUGGAUGUGCUUGAGCAGAAGAUUCCCGUCUCUAUGUCUGUGCCUGUAUGAGACACCAAAUGCAACAGGAAAAGCUUGUGCAUCUUGCUCAGGAUCCUGGGAAGCCACCCUUCAGAGUGCUGUGCUACAUGCUGAUGAGUCAAUCUGUUACAUAGGAUGUCUUCGGACAAGGACAGAAAUAAUGAUCCCACUGUCCUGUGAAGAGCUGGAGAGGAAAUGUCAGCCAACAGCAUAUGCAAGGUAUGGAGCAUGUGGGCACUGCAGCCAUGUAGGGAUCAGAUGAGCCCAGCAUCUGCUUGUGAAGAUGAGGCCAAGCAGAAAUGAAGGCUGACAGAUGGCUGGAUGGGGUGCUCCAUCCUUGCCUUGUGUGCCAGCAGUGCGGGAGCACAGAGCCCAUCUCUGGGAGACCAAGAAAUGAAGCAGUGCAGUACUAGGAGCACAUUGCUCCUGCCACUGGCAGAAUGGGUCAAUUAUAUAUUGUUCGUGUUCUAAGGCUGAGCACAAACCUGUGCUACAGCUUUCUUUAGAAAGCAAAAAAGAGUAUUUUUAUGAGUGACACAUUGAAGAUCGUGUUUUGUCAAUCAUGAAGGAGGUAGAGACAUUAUAGCUCCCUCCUGUAAAAUGCAUUCCAGGGGUAAAUGGUUGGUCUGAAUUUUCUCUAGGGAGUUUUCUUUGUAUUCUGUAUAUUCUUGUGUGCAGAUAAAAGAAUAAACAAGGUCAAGAAGAUGAUGAACUUAUUCUAAGUGUAUCUUGCAUCCCAACAGGUUCAUAUUUCUUCCAUAUUGUGCCUAACAGGAGAACACACCCAUUUUCUGGGUUUCACAAAGUUCUUCUCCAAGGCUCACUGUACUUUGGAUAAUGUCAACAGGGGAAGUUUAUAUUCCCUGGGGAGUUUAUAUCAAAUUCUGCACUGGCAGUUCCUGAGAGGAGGCUCAAGAAGUGCAAACACACCACACAUACUGCACUAUUACUGAGCCUAUGUAAGCAAUUAAAUGGCUUCUUCUGUGUGAGGAUGCCUCCAGUGCAGAUAGAUUCUUAUCUCGCAGCACUCUGAUACACUCUGAUAUGUGUCUCUGUGCUAUUAACACUAGGCUACACCUAGAAGGAAUAACAGAAAUCAUUGCAACUCUUUGUCUUCAUGAAUAAAGCCAGUGGGUCUACACUGCUUUAUUUCCUAUUGAAAAGCAGUGUGUUACUCACAUAAGGCUUUAGUUUUAUUUUAGAAAUUUACAGUGAAGGGGAAUGCAAAAUGAAACAGUCCCAGGAUUAAUCACCUUGCUGCUUAAAAGCUGUGCUGCGUAUCUAAAUCUGCCUUAUUUAUUUUCUAGCUAUUGGAAUAACGAAAACAACUCCUCCACAGAAAUUCAACAAAUACCCGAUCUGAAAGGAUGGCAUACAUUCUUUUUUCCUCAAUGUUUGAGUAUUUAUUAGGCUGUGUUCAGUUGCUUACUGUCUGUAGUUACCUUUUUUUAACCACCUUUACAAGAGCUACCCAUUAAUGCUCUGAUCUAUUGGUAAUUUACUGGUCUCCUAAUUAAUGUCACCUGCUAUUUUAAUUAGUAAGGAUCUGGGGUUAUUGAUUCAAAUAUUAACAUGGUCAAGAUGUAAUUUUAGAGGUAUUAGUGAGAUAAUAACUUCCUGACUGCUAGAAAGGCUUCAGUUCACUAAUAACUGCCAUGCUGAUUGUGUACUGUUCUAUUGAUCUGGAGGUCAGACAGUACCAAAUGUUUAUGGAAAUCUAAGGAUACAUCAAUAUAAACAGGUGUAUGAACCCAGCCUACCUCAGAUAUUUCUAGCAAGGUAACUGCAGAAGUAAUGAAGAUUAUCAGGUUGGGUGAGUCCAUGCUGAGGUCACUAUCCACUCAAGCCUGUCCUGUCCCACAGCACUGGGGCCAUCACUGUCUUUUUAAAUUCUUUUCAUCACAGGGUUAAUGAAGUUAUGGGCAUUUUCUAAUCUAUUUGAUAAAGAAAGCCCUACUGUACAAUUCAGACACCAGGUUGCAUGGCAGCUCGUGUCCUUUACAAGGGAAUAUCCUGCCGUCUGACCAGUUUGGGCUUUCUUUUGUAGCUUCUCCACUUGUGCUUUCAUGCUGACUGGUUCUGCUCUCUUAAGUCAGCAAUACAGGCACCCAGUGAUAUUUCCUUAGUAGGUGCCGUCUUCCACCUUUAGUAACAAGUAGUUACUACAGCGUCACCAACCAGCAGACCAGGCUGCCCAGAGCUAGGUCCAGCCUUGCCUUGAAUGCCUCCAGAGAUGGGGCAUCUACAAUCUCCUUGGGCAACCUGAUCCAUUGAGUCAAAGGAGGUAAUGUGAUCUCCUGUAGAACAGUCUUCACAAUGGUGAAAUGGUUAAAUUUGGAGUGGAAAGCACUUUAAAAAAGCCACAUCUCUCACAUUGAUCGUAUACUGCAGAGUCUACGGGGCAGGGACCAGCUGGGGCUCAAUGUCUGCAUUGUGCUAAACUCAGUCGGGUACUUGCUUCUGGAUGUUAUUAAUAUACAUGGAUGAACUAGCAAUCUCUUUAACAAGGCAGCAUGGAAAAUGCACCCGCAUUCCUCUAAACACCACAAGAGCCUCCUACCUGUGUUCAGGUUAGGAAACCUACUUAUGAUUUUUAUUUUUUUUUCAACAGCCUAGUUUAAUCUUUAUUGAAAUUCUUUCCAAAAAAUUUGAAGGUAUUAAUUUCCUUCCUCCCCCCCCCUGCCAGAUAUGACAUUUAUCCCUUGGUAAGUCUGAAAACCUCAGGCACUUCUAACAAGAGAGACAUUUUAGUUUCCCGCAAUGAGAGAAGCAUAAUGAUGUGGUCCAUUCCAAGACGGACUUGUUUUCAGGCUUUCUAAAGCAGAAUUAAUCAAUAAUUACAGCCAUCAUCUGCAUGUGAGCCCCUGGAGUUUUAUUUAUACUCCAGUCACAUUGCUCUGUGACCUAGAGCAAUAUACAGUAGUUUUGCCUGUUGGAAAAUAAAUCAUAUUACAUUUUUGCAUGCACAUAUAGUUAAGGCUUAUCUUCUUUAGUUGUAAAGGAACAGAAAUUUCUUCUGGAAUUGCCUCUUUCAUCUGCAUUUAGUAAUCUUAAUAUUUGGGACACAAAAUGAUUUCCAAGCCAUGCUUGCCAGUUGGGUUUAAUCCUUUGAGUUCUUAAUUUUGAAAACUACAUGACUAUGUUAAUUUGCAGAAGUGAAAUUAAAAUAAAAACAUCUUUGUGUUUGUACUUAAAGUGAGGAGAUUUCCAAGCCUGAGUAUCCGAAUUAAUAAAUAGACCUUCAUUAGGAUUUAGAAUGGCUUGGGUUGGAAAGGACCUCAAAGAUCAUUUCUGAUCAGAAUAUUUUCCACAAUGGGGAAACUCUCUUUUCUGAUUAACUUUCUUAACUAAGUUGAAAUAUAUACUCAGGUUAGGCAGUUGAAAGUCUUAAAACUCCAUUUCCAAACACUGGGGUUUGAGGGCAGGUGGGAAAAAGAAAGAAAAGUAGUUGUAAUUGACACAGAAAGCACCUUUGUGCUGACAGGUCAUAGGAAGAACUGUAAAAAGCAACCAAGACAGAAGUAAGUGAGAGGUUUAAAUGCCAUAUCUGUUUCACAUAAAGAAAAUUAGUAUGUAAUGAAGGUCAUUAGAAUGCCUAUCUCAUUCCAUUGCCAGGGAUGAAACUCAGUGCUAUCUACCAUGAAACGUGACGUAGGAGCCUUCCCAAAUAUGUGUUAUCUGAAUUGAUAAAUGAGAGAUAGCAGAGAAAGAAUGAGACACCAUUGAACUUAGGACCUAGUACCUGUAAAAAACUGCAUACUGAAGUGUAUUACAGGGGCUAGCCCUACUCCAACAACUUCAGAAGUGUUAGCAAGACAAAGACCCAAAACUGCUGCUGUAAGGAUUAAUCAUGUCUUUCUUGAUCUAAGCUACCUUAAUGAUCCAAGGAGAGCAAACCAUGUUCUUGUUUGCAGCACCAUCUGCAAUAUUGCAGCUACAGCUGAAGGA